GACGUAGGUGGCAAGCGUUAUCCGGAUUUACUGGGCGUAAAGAGCGCGCAGGCGGCUUGACAAGUCAGAUAUAAAAUCUCCUGGCUUAACUGGGAGGGGCUAUCUGAUACUGUCAGGCUAGAGUGCAUCAGAGGGAGAUGGAAUUCCCGGUGUAGGGGUGAAAUCCGUAGAUAUCGGGAGGAACACCAGUGGCGAAGGCGGCCAUCUGGACGGUGACUGACGCUGAGACGCGAAAGCGUGGGGAGCAAAC
rnacentral:rRNA from 1 species